rnacentral:snRNA from 1 species
GGAUGGCAAUCUGGCUGCGACAUCUCUCACCCCAUUGAUCGCCAGGGUUGAUUUGGCUGAUCUGGCUGGCUAGGCGGGUGUCCCCUCCUCCCUCACUGAUCCAUAUGCAUCCUCCUGAAGCUGUGCUCGGUCUAAGAGGAGGACCUUUCCCCCAGAGGAGAGGACCGGUCUCGGUCAAGGGUAUGCGAGUAGCUGCUGUCUCCUGCUAGAACCUCCAAACAAGCUCUCAAGGUCCAUUUGUAGGAGAACGUAGGGGUAGUCAAGCUUCCAAGUCUCCGGACACAUCCAGAUGAGGCGCUGCACGUGGCAGUCUGCCUUUAAAA